GAUCAUUAUGAAUAUAUGCAUUAUUCGUGGAAUUACUUAUAUCUAACUAAUCUAUUUUUUAAUUACAACUAUCAACAACGGAUCUCUUGGCUCUCGCAUCGAUGAAGAACGCAGCGAACCGCGAUAUUUUUUGUGACUUGCAGAUGUGAAUCAUCAAUCUUUGAACGCACAUUGCGCGGUGUGGCAUUCCGCACCGCACGGAUGGACGAGCGUGUUCCCUCUGGGAUCGCAUCGCUUUUCUGAAAUGAAUGAAUUACUUCAAUACACUCUUUUCACCUCGUUCAUCCGAGACUACCCGCUGAACUUAAGCAUAUCAAUAAGCGGAGGCACUUGUUUUAUAUAAUUUAAUCCUCAAAA
rnacentral:misc_RNA from 1 species